ACGCCCCAACUUCCCAGGGGGUCACCCAUCCUAGGACUACUUCUGUCCUAGCACGCUUAACUCUCUUAACCUCUUGGGCCUUGCCACCACCCAAAAUGCUUAAGCCGGGUUAAGAGUUUAGCCCUAUUAUAUCUCAUAUAUAGGACUAUCUGGGGUCUCACAAUCUCCCCUCCUUUAAGCCCUGACGUCCUCGUCAGGCUCAGACUCACAAGUAGCAGGCGAUGUGAGACUCAUCUCGCUAGCCCGUAAUCCAGACCCUGGCUCAGUCGAGACUCAUCUCACACUUCCGGCUGGUAAUUGUCUCUGAUACCAUCUGUGACGCCCCAACUUCCCAGGGGGUCACCCAUCCUAGGACUACUCCCGUCCUAGCACGCUUAACUCUCUUAACCUCUUGGGCCUUGCCACCACCCAAAAUGCUUAAGCCGGGUUAAGAGUUUAGCCUUAUUAUAUCUCAUAUAUAGGACUAUCUGGGGUCUCAC
rnacentral:lncRNA from 1 species